UCUCCGUUGGUGAACCAGCGGAGGGAUCAUUACAGAGUCUUCACAACUCCCAACCCUUGCGAAUGGUGCCCACUCUGUUCUCGUUGUAUCCGGCGGCGCGGACGGGGGGGCCCGAAACGGUUAUCCCUCCCCGCCCGCCGGGGGCGGGGGGGCCCUCGUAUUUUUAUAUCUUAACCACCAGAAACCGUUUGUUAUAACAAAUAAAAUAAUCAAAACUUUUAACAACGGAUCUCUUGGGUAUUGCACCGACGAAGAACGCAACCGAACGGCAAAGCACAC
rnacentral:misc_RNA from 1 species